UGGUCAUGGCGGUGGGGGUACACCCGGUCCCAUCUCGAACCCGGUCGUUAAGCCCACCCGCGCCUAGGGUACUUGGGGCGUAAGCCUCUGGGAGACUCGGUCGCUGCCAACU
rnacentral:rRNA from 1 species